GAUUUUGGUGUCACUUUAGAAGUCACUCUAUUUGUGAAUAGCCCAGCAAGAGAAUCAGGUCAAGCUAUUAGGGAGAGUCUAUGGAAAGCAAUGGAAUCAAAUUUCCAGCCAGAAUUUCAGGGUAAAAUUAGAAGUCUUCAAGAAGUAAACUAUGAGCCAACCAGCAUCCCUACUUGGACACUGCUCCAGCUGCCUGAAUGACGUAACUAACAUUUAGAGAUAACAGUGAAUAGAAAGACACACACGACACCAUCUGAAUCACAGUAAAGAGAUGGGUGGACCUGG